AGCGAGGGAGGGAGGGGGACAGCAAGACAGGAGGCGCCAGCUGAGGCGAGUGGGGAGGAGGGAGGGAAAGCUCUUGUUGGCUUGUUGGUUUUGCUUGUUGUUGUUGUUGUUGUCUUUUUAAAAAAAGCAAUGUUUGUAUCAAUAAAAACUGGACAGCGAGGCUUCCACUAGGAAGGACGCCUAGGGGCGCGCUAGCUGGCCCCCCUUUGCCCACUGCCCCUUUGCGUGGGUCUCUUCUGAGCGGCCCAGCGGGCUCUGCGCGCUCCCCUCCCGUUCCGCUCCUGCUCCGGAGGAGGCCGGAUCCUCAGUUCAGCGCGCCCUGCCAACCAUUUCCCUGGUCACAGCUCCCUGCCAGCUCCGCGCGCAGUCCCGCAUUGCUCGGCCAGCUUUGUGGCUGUGAGUGAGUGUCCAAGGAGGCAAUUGCUGGAGUGGUUGGGGCAGGAUUAAGGUUUUUUUUGCCCCUUUCUUUUUUCCUUCUUUUCUUUCCUUCUCCCCCCUCCCGCCCUUUUUAGUUUGUUUGUUUUUGGUAGCGGUUGCAAAUACCAGUGCCCUUUCUCGCCUCCUAUUUUUUUUCCUUCCAAGGGGUAGAGAGGGGGUAGGUCUUCGAUGAUCGCCAAAGAAAUCCCUAUCGUCCUAGUGACCACCGCUUCCACCAGGUCUGCACAGAUUGUCUCUCCUGCUGCCUCCACCGCGGCUCGUGGCUGUCUCUCUCCCUGAGUGCCUGUCCCCAGUCCCCCGUCCCCGUCUGUGCGUCUCUCCCAGGCUCCGGCGGCUUCGUCACUGCUCUCGGCUGUUCCCAGCCGCUCUGGAAGCCCCCUAGCCUUAAUGCAGCGCUCGACGACGUCACUGCGGGCGGCGGCCAAUCAGCGACUCGCGGUCCCUCUGUAAACCAUUAUCCAUCCCGGUGGCCGAGGAGAGUGCAGCGAGACCGCUUAUAGAGAAUCAACGGCGGGACCCGCGGCAAAGUGCGCGGCACGGCGUGGAGCAGCUGCUGGGAGACCAGUACUGACCCGGCUUUAGGGGUCGCGGUUUCCGCUCCCCCCCCCAAAAAAAAACUUUGGAGCACCCUUUCCUACGUCUUGGCAACUCCCCUUCACUUAGGCCCCAGGGCUGAUUCUUGAACCGUCUCCAGACUCGAGGCUACCCACCGCCAGGGACUCAGUCUCCGCUGUUAAUCGGGAUUUUCCCUGAGAAUGGGCCAGCAGAUGGGUAGUUGUUUGACACGGGGUCGGCUCCUCUCCCGGUAUCUCCCUCUCCACGGAGGUCUUAUAUCCUCCUGGAGCGGAUCGAGAGGGGUUGAGGUCAGCGACGGCAGCUUCAAAUUCCUCCAUAUGGGACUUGUCACUUCUUUGACUAAAGUGACCUGGAGGACCAGCCCCACAUAGGCGACCCUAGCCAAAGGGAGGUUCAGAGGAGCAGCUAAGGGAGCCCAGAGUGGGCUUGAUGUCGCGGCUUCCAGCGCAGGAAAAGGCUUCUCCCUAGGAAUUCAAAUCACCUCUUCGGGCGAAAGCGAGAAACGGCUACAACGAAUUCGGCUUAGACUCAAUACGACUUUCAGGGUUUCGGGUUCUCCAGACACCCCUUUCAUUUACCCUACGGUGGAGAAAGAAACCUGGCGCUCCUCUGCUGGGCCCCGACAGUGCAGGCCUUUUGAGACCGCCACUUUUUACUUAAAACCAAACCUCCGGUGGAUGGCCUUUGCCUCCUACCGCCUGCCCAGCCCCAACUUCUUUCUCCUCCGAUCUUCCAAAGUGGGGUUGCCUCGCAGCUAAUCCCUUCACGUAUGGAGGGAGAGGCUGUAUUCUCCUCUUUUCUCCUCUUCCCCAGGUGUGAAUCCCUGGGGCAGUGGAGACCCCAAUUAAAAUAUCUCAACCAG